UUCCCGAUGUUGAGUCGGAAUCUCCUUUCUUGUAACUUGAAGCCGUUGGUUCCAGAGAGGCAGAAAGCAAGCUUGCUCCCUCUUCCAUGUGACAGCCCUUCAGGUAUUUGAAGAUGGCUAUCAUAUUUCCUUUCAGUCUCCUCUUCUCCAAGCUAAACAUAUCCAAUUCCUUCAACC